GGCACUGUGGCUUAGUUGGUUAAAGAGCCUGUCUAGUAAACAGGAGAUCCUGGGUUCAAAUCCUAGCAGUGCCU
rnacentral:tRNA from 1 species